rnacentral:tRNA from 1 species
AAAGACGAUUAUAAUUUUUAUUUACAAUAAGAAAAGCCCUAGGGCGUUUUUA